rnacentral:rRNA from 1 species
CCUACGGGUGGCAGCAGUAGGGAAUAUUGCUCAAUGGGGGAAACCCUGACGCAGCAACGCCGCGUGGAGGAUGAAGGUUUUCGGAUUGUAAACUCCUUUUGUGGGAGAAGAUUAUGACAGUAUCUCACGUAUAAACGCCAGCUAACUCCGUGCCAGCAGCCGCGGUAAUACGGAGGGUGCAAGCGUUACUCGGAAUCACUGGGCGUAAAGAGUGCGUGGCCGGGGUAAUAAGUCAGAUGUGAAAUCCUGUAGCUUAACUACAGAACUGCAUUUGAAACUGUUACUCUGGAGUGUGGGAGAGGUAGGUGGAAUUCUUGGUGUAGGGGUAAAAUGCGUAGAGAUAAAGAGGAAUACUCAUUGCGAAGGCGACCUGCUGGAACAUUACUGACGCUGAUGCACGAAAGCGUGGGGAGCAAACAGGAUUAGAUACCCUAGUAGUC